rnacentral:lncRNA from 1 species
UUUGGAAGAGCAUAAACAAGAAGCAGUUGAUAAGUUGUUGCAAAUUUUGCAAGUUGCAAAAUGGGCUGGGUGUUACGAUUUUCCACCAAAACAGUUAAUACCAUUUUUUGUUGAUCUUCCAAAAACAAGGUUGUUAACGCUGAUACUGUCAACAUGGUAAAGUUUAACGUGAUGUAAAUAACUGUAUUAUAAUAUUAGUAUAUUUAUUUGUUUUAAUUUAUAU